rnacentral:rRNA from 1 species
GACGAACGCUGGCGGCGUGCCUAAUACAUGCAAGUCGAGCGGGGAUUAUGCUUGAUCGCUUCGGUGAGACGGCAGAUAUCCUAGCGGCGGACGGGUGAGUAACGCGUGGGUAAUCUACCUCGUAGUUCGGGAUAACAGGCCGAAAGGCUUGCUAAUACCGGAUGAGUUCAUGCUUAUGCAUAUAGGCAUGAAGAAAGGGCUAGCCCGCUAUGAGAUGAGCCCGCGUCCCAUUAGCUUGUUGGUGGGGUAACGGCCCACCAAGGCUACGAUCAGUAGCUGGUCUGAGAGGAUGAUCAGCCACACUGGAACUGAGACACGGUCCAGACUCCUACGGGAGGCAGCAGUGAGGAAUAUUGGGCAAUGCCCGCAAGGGUGACCCAGCAACGCCGCGUGGAGGAUGAAGGUCGUAAGAUCGUAAACUCCUGUUAGAGGGGAAGAACACCACCGAUUGGAUCGGUGUUUGACUGUACCCUCAGAGAAACG